AUCCCAAAUGAACGUUUUCUAUGUUUAUUUGAUUCAUGGGAGGCCAAUAUCGAUGUGGAAGUUCGCUGAUAAUACCUUUUAUAUUCCAGAAGGUGUUUCAAUAGUACCUUGCCCGACAAAU